AGUUUGAUGGCGACCGGCGCACGGGUGAGUAACACGUAUCCAACCUUCCGUUUACUCAGGGAUAGCCUUUCGAAAGAAAGAUUAAUACCUGAUAGUAUGGUGAGAUUGCAUGAUAGCACCAUUAAAGAUUUAUUGGUAAACGAUGGGGAUGCGUUCCAUUAGGUAGUAGGCGGGGUAACGGCCCACCUAGCCGACGAUGGAUAGGGGUUCUGAGAGGAAGGUCCCCCACAUUGGAACUGAGACACGGUCCAAACUCCUACGGGAGGCAGCAGUGAGGAAUAUUGGUCAAUGGGCGAGAGCCUGAACCAGCCAAGUAGCGUGAAGGAUGAAGGUCCUACGGAUUGUAAACUUCUUUUAUACGGGAAUAAAGUAUCCUACGUGUAGGAUUUUGUAUGUACCGUAUGAAUAAGCAUCGGCUAACUCCGUGCCAGCAGCCGCGGUAAUACGGAGGAUGCGAGCGUUAUCCGGAUUUAUUGGGUUUAAAGGGAGCGCAGACGGGAGAUUAAGUCAGUUGUGAAAGUUUGCGGCUCAACCGUAAAAUUGCAGUUGAUACUGGUUUCCUUGAGUGCAGUUGAGGCAGGCGGAAUUCGUGGUGUAGCGGUGAAAUGCUUAGAUAUCACGAAGAACCCCGAUUGCGA
rnacentral:rRNA from 1 species